CGCAGUAGUCGUCAGUAUAGACUGGCACCGACGAUGACGCUAUCUACUAAUCUAUCUAUCUAUCCAUGGCCGCUCCACUGCAGCCACAAACACUGCCACACAAGUGACUCGGAUUUUUUCAGCUUUUAACCCCAUGGCUCCGUCCUGACUCACUCGUAUAUUCAGAAAGCAUUACGGCGGUAACAAAUUCUGCUCGGGAAAAAAUGCUGCUGGAGUGGUUUCAGUCCUGAGGUGCAAUACAGUCGUUCUUACCUGGUACAUCGUAGAAAGGCUUCCGAAUUCCAUGGUAUAACAGGUAAAACUGGCUUUAGUGUGGAUAGGUCUCCUCUCAUCUGUCCACAAUGACAAAUAGCGGCGAUUACAUUUAAGAUGAAACAGAAUGGUCACAACCUAAAUCCUCGCUCCAACACCAGGCAUGAUUUUGGGCAAAACUGUCUGGGCAAUUUAGUCCAAAUCAUCAGUUUACCUGUUCGUACAUAUCACAUCGUGGCACCAGCUACUCGUCAAACUCUGAGUUUCACAUGCCGAUCUUAAAAGUCCAUGAAAACAGAGCGUGAUGCAAGUGAAGGCUCACAUUGUAUUUCUGUAUUGCAGAUAACCAACCAAUACAGCAUAUGAAGUGACUCUUUAGUUUCUUUA